rnacentral:rRNA from 1 species
CGUCCGUCGUGAAGAGGGAAACAACCCAGACCGCCAGCUAAGGUCCCAAAGUCAUGGUUAAGUGGGAAACGAUGUGGGAAGGCCCAGACAGCCAGGAUGUUGGCUUAGAAGCAGCCAUCAUUUAAAGAAAGCGUAAUAGCUCACUGGUCGAGUCGGCCUGCGCGGAAGAUGUAACGGGGCUAAACCAUGCACCGAAGCUGCGGCAGCGACACUAUGUGUUGUUGGGUAGGGGAGCGUUCUGUAAGCCUGUGAAGGUGGCCUGUGAGGGUUGCUGGAGGUAUCAGAAGUGCGAAUGCUGACAUAAGUAACGAUAAAGCGGGUGAAAAGCCCGCUCGCCGGAAGACCAAGGGUUCCUGUCCAACGUUAAUCGGGGCAGGGUGAGUCGACCCCUAAGGCGAGGCCGAAAGGCGUAGUCGAUGGGAAACAGGUUAAUAUUCCUGUACUUGGUGUUACUGCGAAGGGGGGACGGAGAAGGCUAUGUUGGCCGGGCGACGGUUGUCCCGGUUUAAGCGUGUAGGCUGGUUUUCCAGGCAAAUCCGGAAAACCAAGGCUGAGGCGUGAUGACGAGGCACUACGGUGCUGAAGCGACAAAUGCCCUGCUUCCAGGAAAAGCCUCUAAGCAUCAGGUAACAUCAAAUCGUACCCCAAACCGACACAGGUGGUCAGGUAGAGAAUACCAAGGCGCUUGAGAGAACUCGGGUGAAGGAACUAGGCAAAAUGGUGCCGUAACUUCGGGAGAAGGCACGCUGAUAUGUAGGUGAAGCGACUUGCUCGUGGAGCUGAAAUCAGUCGAAGAUACCAGCUGGCUGCAACUGUUUAUUAAAAACACAGCACUGUGCAAACACGAAAGUGGACGUAUACGGUGUGACGCCUGCCCGGUGCCGGAAG